UGGGGAAUAUUGCACAAUGGGCGCAAGCCUGAUGCAGCCAUGCCGCGUGUGUGAAGAAGGCCUUCGGGUUGUAAAGCACUUUCAGCGAGGAGGAAGGUGGUGAGCUUAAUACGCUCAUCAAUUGACGUUACUCGCAGAAGAAGCACCGGCUAACUCCGUGCCAGCAGCCGCGGUAAUACGGAGGGUGCAAGCGUUAAUCGGAAUUACUGGGCGUAAAGCGCACGCAGGCGGUUUGUUAAGUCAGAUGUGAAAUCCCCGGGCUCAACCUGGGAACUGCAUUUGAAACUGGCAAGCUAGAGUCUCGUAGAGGGGGUAGAAUUCCAGGUGUAGCGGUGAAAUGCGUAGAGAUCUGGAGGAAUACCGGUGGCGAAGGCGGCCCCCUGGACGAAGACUGACGCUCAGGUGCGAAAGCGUGGGGAGCAAAACAGGAUUAGAUACCCUGGUAGUCCACGCUGUAAAACGAUGUCGAUUUUGGAGGUUGUGCCCUUGAGGCGUGGCUUCCGGAGCUAACGCGUUAAAUCGACCGCCUGGGGAGUACGGCCG
rnacentral:rRNA from 1 species